rnacentral:rRNA from 1 species
AUACGGAGGGUGCAAGCGUUGUUCGGAAUUACUGGGCGGAAAGCGCGCGUAGGCGGUCUGUUAUGUCAUAUGUGAAAGUCCUCGGCUCAACCGGGGAAGUGCAUUUGAAACUGGCAGACUUGAGUACUGGAGGGGGUGGUGGAAUUCCCGGUGUAGAGGUGAAAUUCGUAGAUAUCGGGAGGAAUACCGGUGGCGAAGGCGACCACCUGGCCAGAUACUGACGCUGAGGUGCGAAAGCGUGGGGAGCAAACAGGAUUAGAAACCCUAGUAGUCC